CUGCCUGACAAAUGAGAGGCGAAAUGGAAAGGAGAAUAUACAUAGAGGUUUUCCAUGGCACGCACAAAGAGAUAGGAAGUGAAAUAAGGGAAGUUGGAGAAUGUUGCUAACAAAUCUAGGUAAAGAUGAAUGUUUUAAACGAACCUAAGGGAGGGAAAAUGCUUUCUGAUGCCAUGUCAGAGCUGAAGCUGGAUACUGAAUUUGCCUUGGGAAUCAGGCAG
rnacentral:misc_RNA from 1 species